UACGAGGGGGGCGAGCGUUGUUCGGAAUUAUUGGGCGUAAAGGGUGCGUAGGCGGUUUGGUAAGUCUUAUGUGAAAUCUACAGGCUCAACUUGUAGUCUGCAUGAGAAACUGCCGGGCUUGAGUGUGGGAGAGGUGAGUGGAAUUCCUGGUGUAGCGGUGAAAUGCGUAGAUAUCAGGAAGAACACCCGUGGCGAAGGCGGUUCUCUGGGACGGUACUGACGCUGAGACGCGAAAGCGUGGGGAGCGAACAGG
rnacentral:rRNA from 1 species